UACGAAGGGGGCUAGCGUUGCUCGGAAUCACUAGGCGUAAAGGGUGCGUAGGCGGGUCUUUAAGUCAGGGGUGAAAUCCUGGAGCUCAACUCCAGAACUGCCUUUGAUACUGAGGAUCUUGAGUUCGGGAGAGGUGAGUGGAACUGCGAGUGUAGAGGUGAAAUUCGUAGAUAUUCGCAAGAACACCAGUGGCGAAGGCGGCUCACUGGCCCGAUACUGACGCUGAGGCACGAAAGCGUGGGGAGCAAACAGG
rnacentral:rRNA from 1 species